rnacentral:rRNA from 1 species
GAUGAACGCUGGCGGCGUGCCUAAUACAUGCAAGUAGAACGCUGAAGGGAGGAGCUUGCUCUUUCCGGAUGAGUUGCGAACGGGUGAGUAACGCGUAGGUAACCUGCCUGGUAGCGUGGGAUAACUUUUGGAAACGAUAGCUAAUACCGCAUAAUAGAUGAAGUUGCAUGAUUUCUACUUAAAAGAUGCAAUUGCACUACCACAAGAAGGACUUCGCUUGGAUUAACCAGUUGGUGAGGUAACGGGUUACCAAGGCGACGAUUCAUAACCGACCCGGGAAGGGGGUCCGCCACACCUGGACUGGAGCCCGGCCCAGACCCCUACGGGAGGCAGGAGGAAGGAAAUCUCGGCAAAGGACCGAAGUCUGGCCGGGGAAAGCCGGGGGAGUGAAGAAGGUUCUCGGAUCGUAAAGCUCUGUUGUAAGAGAAGAACGAAUGGGGGAAGGGAAAAUUCACGCUUUGACGGUACCUUACCAGAAAGGGACGGCUAACUACGUG